rnacentral:rRNA from 1 species
AAGUCGAACGGCAGCGGGGAAGUGCUUGCACUUCUGCCGGCGAGUGGCGAACGGGUGAGUAAUAUAUCGGAACGUACCGAAUAGUGGGGGAUAACUGUCCGAAAGGAUGGCUAAUACCGCAUACGUCUUGAGAGAGAAAGUGGGGGCUUCGCAAGGACCUCACGCUAUUUGAGCGGCCGAUAACUGAUUAGCUGGUUGGUGGGGUAAGAGCCCACCAAGGCGACGAUCAGUAGCGGGUCUGAGAGGAUGAUCCGCCACAUUGGGACUGAGACACGGCCCAAACUCCUACGGGAGGCAGCAGUGGGGAAUUUUGGACAAUGGGGGCAACCCUGAUCCAGCCAUGCCGCGUGUAUGAAGAAGGCCUUCGGGUUGUAAAGUACUUUUGUCGGGGAAGAAAAGGUUAGUGUUAAUACCACUGACUGAUGACGGUACCCGAAGAAUAAGCACCGGCUAACUACGUGCCAGCAGCCGCGGUAAUACGUAGGGUGCAAGCGUUAAUCGGAAUUACUGGGCGUAAAGCGGGCGCAGACGGUUACAUAAGUCAGGUGUGAAAUCCCCGAGCUCAACUUGGGAAUGGCGCUUGAAACUGUGUAGCUAGAGUGUGUCAGAGGGAGGUAGAAUUCCGCGUGUAGCAGUGAAAUGCGUAGAGAUGCGGAGGAAUACCGAUGGCGA